ACUAUCAUGUACCAAGAUUUAAAAAUAUGCAAAUGCCACGUUGCAGGACAGAAGCAAGUCUUGCCCUGCCUUGCGCUGCCCUGCCCUGCCCGUCUGCCUGCUGCCAGCCAGACAAUGUGUGCCUGACUGGCUGCCUCGUUGGCCGUGUGGUAUAGAGCUCGCUGACGUGGCCAUCGCGGAAGCAGCACGUGCAUCUACGAGCAAGCUUCUGCUGGGCUGUUGCGCUGUCAUUGACGGCGGCAGGAGAGAAGGUGGCUUCUGUAAAGCCGCAGGAGAGAGCAAACGAUGUAUUGUUACACAUUGUGGUACUCCCGGCGUCACGCACUGGAAUAUAAGGCUCUCAUGUUCACGGCAUUAUAGUCUACAGAUCGCGAACGUUUCCUUACGGUGG